CCUACGGGGGGCAGCAGUGAGGAAUAUUGGUCAAUGGACGAGAGUCUGAACCAGCCAAGUAGCGUGAAGGAUGACUGCCCUAUGGGUUGUAAACUUCUUUUAUAUGGGAAUAAAAUGUUCCACGUGUGGGAUUUUGUAUGUACCAUAUGAAUAAGGAUCGGCUAACUCCGUGCCAGCAGCCGCGGUAAUACGGAGGAUCCGAGCGUUAUCCGGAUUUAUUGGGUUUAAAGGGAGAGUAGGUGGAUUGUUAAGUCAGUUGUGAAAGUUUGCGGCUCAACCGUAAAAUUGCAGUUGAAACUGGCAGUCUUGAGUACAGUAGAGGUGGGCGGAAUUCGGGGUGUAGCGGUGAAAUGCUUAGAUAUCACGAAGAACUCCGAUUGCGAAGGCAGUUCACUGGACUGCAACUGACACUGAGGCUCGAAAGUGUGGGUAUCAAACAGGAUUAGAUACCCCGGUAGUC
rnacentral:rRNA from 1 species